CAGAAAUCUCAGCCAUACACAGCUGCAGUGUGAGCACAGCCAGUCUCAUUAUCCUUACAGGGUGAAGUCAAGGUUAUUUCUGUGUGCUGCCCUCUACUGAUGCCUCUCUGAACUGACAGUCUGAGGUCAGGUAUGUCCACAUCUGGAAGGCACAUGCCUUCUGAGACAGAUGUACGAGGGGGUCAGGGGUCACCCGGGGCCCUUUAAUGCAGAUUAAAGAAGAAAAGUGAAGAACAACAGAGAUGAACAAACCUCUGAAGUGGCUCCAAGGCCGGACAAGCGCAGAGUGAGAUCUGACCGGCAUCACUCAGACAUGCAUGAGGCGACGAGCCGGCUGAUUGCACGAAAAAGACGGCACAGAGGCUGCAGAGAAUGUAAGACUUGGAAGGACUUUUAUUAAACUAUAUGAAUAUUUAAUCAAACUGAAAA